UUACCAGAGUUAGGGAACUCUGUAUCUUAACAACUUACCGAGAUUCAUCUUUGAAUCUUACCGACCAACUAACUCUAUGUGAGUUAGAUCUUAUCCUAAUCACUGCGGUUAUUGGUCUCAGGUAUUCCUACCUAAGCUUCAUAACCAACAGCUUUGAUACCAACUGUAGCGUCCCCCGAACCCGGGCCCCAAAUCGCCGCGGAUUCG
rnacentral:lncRNA from 1 species